rnacentral:rRNA from 1 species
UACGUAGGGUGCGAGCGUUGCCCGGAAUUAUUGGGCGUAAAGAGCUCGUAGGCGGUUUGUCGCGUCUGCCGUGAAAGUCCGGGGCUCAACUCCGGAUCUGCGGUGGGUACGGGCAGACUAGAGUGAUGUAGGGGAGACUGGAAUUCCUGGUGUAGCGGUGAAAUGCGCAGAUAUCAGGAGGAACACCGAUGGCGAAGGCAGGUCUCUGGGCAUUAACUGACGCUGAGGAGCGAAAGCAUGGGGAGCGAACAGG